GCUUAGUUAGUUUCAAUGUAAAAUAUGGUUUUUGUAAUACCAAGACACUUCAGGGUACUGAGCU
rnacentral:tRNA from 1 species